UGCACUAAAUGAUAUGCAUGGGGAUA
rnacentral:piRNA from 1 species